rnacentral:tRNA from 1 species
GCACUGGUAGUGUAAUGGCGCACAGUAUUCCUGCCCGGUCGGCAAGAGGUGCGGGUUCGAGUCCCGCCUGGCGCU